rnacentral:rRNA from 1 species
CCAGGGAUUGUAAAGGAGGACCCUUGCACGCAGCUAGCAUCUCUCCGCUGCAGGCGAUUGAAGGGGUCCUGUGUCUGAACUGCUACUGCUGUUCAAAGCAUCAUAGAUAGAUUGAGAGCGCGAAGGAGGAAGCCACGGCUACAUCUACGUGCCAGCAGCCGCGGUAAUACGUAGCGUGGCAAGCGUUGUCCGGAUUUACUGGGCGUAAAGAAUGCGUAGGCGGAUACUUAAGUGGGAUGUGAAAUACCCGGGCUCAACUUGGGUGCUGCAUUUCAAACUGGAUGUCUAGAGUGCAGGAGAGGAAAGUGGAAUUCCUAGUGUAGCGGUGAAAUGCGUAGAGAUUAGGAAGAACACCAGUGGCGAAGGCGACUUUCUGGACUGUAACUGACACUGAGGCUCGAAAGCGUGGGGAGCAAACAGGAUUAGAUACCCUGGUAGUCCACGCCCGUAAACGAUGGAUACUAGGUGUAGGGGUUAUCAACCUCCCUCUGUUCCCGCAAUAUUACACAAAUUUUUCCCCCCUGUGAGGCCACCCCGCUCUAACAUAUUUUACACCUCAAUAGGCUUUUUGU